ACUCACUCGACCGCGAACUGUUAACGUUAGUGGAUAACAAAAGACCACGUCACGACAAAGGUGGUGCCUACGUGUCAUUGCCCGUAUCUCUCUCUCUGAACUAUUGAUGCGUGGGGAGUGGGGCACGUGGAGCGAAAUAGGAAACGGCAUGGCCCUGUUUCGAUCGCCAGGCUCACCACUCCCACCGAGUCUCAGACUGAGACGCCUCCUCAACCCAUCAAGAUCCAAGCUUUCCUUUCGUUUCCCAACAACAAUGGCUUCUUCUUCUUCUGCUUCUGCCUCUGAACAUGCUGAAUCAAUGCCGGUAUCGGCAAAACUUUUCCACGUCCCUGCACUGAACGCCCACGAAAUGGAGCAGAUCGCAGACAAGACCAUGGACAGAUACUCCCGCAGUAACGACGCCAAGAGGAAGGGCCGAGGGACGGUGAUCGUGUGGUUCAGGAACGAUCUGAGGGUGCUCGACAACGAGGUUUUGUUCCAGGCCUGGUCUUCCUCUGAGCUCGUCUUGCCCGUUUAUUGCCUCGACCCCCGCCACUUCGCCGCCACCCAUUACUUUGGCUUCCCCAAAACUGGCGCUUUGAGGGCACAGUUUCUCAUUGAGUGUUUGGAGGACCUGAAAAGGAAUUUGGUGAAGCGGGGUCUUGACUUGCUUAUACGCCGAGGGAAACCUGAAGAGAUUCUUCCAUCCAUUGCCGAAACAUUCGGAGCACAUACGGUUUAUGCCCAGAAAGAAACUUGCAGUGAGGAGCUGGGUGUUGAAAGACGGGUUCGCAAAGGUCUGUGGCUAGUAGCAUUACCGUCAGUAUCUACAUCAAUUGAGCUCAGUGGCGCUGGUCCUUCAAUUGAUGCCAAACCACAGCAGGCCUCUGGCACCAGCUCCAAGAAGGGCCCGCGGCUGCAUCUUAUAUGGGGUAGUACUAUGUACCACAUUGAUGACCUUCCGUUUCGUACUGAUCAUUUACCUGAUGUGUAUACUCAAUUCCGUAAGCCUGUUGAAUCUAAAUGCAGGGUCCGAGAUUGCAUAAAGGCUCCGAAAUAUCUAGGGCCAGCACCUUCUACUAAUGAUUGGGGCUGUGUUCCUACGCUCAAGCAACUUGGGCUUUCUUUAGUUCAGGUCAAACUAGGGAUGAAGUUUUCUGGGGGUGAAAAUGCAGCACUGAGCAGAGUAUACGAAUACUUCUGGAAAAAGGAUUUGUUAAGUACUUACAAAAAGACUCGGAAUGGGAUGGUUGGGGCUGAUUACUCGACUAAAUUUUCUCCAUGGCUUGCUUCAGGAUGCCUUUCUCCCCGUCUUUUAUGCAAAGAGGUGAAAAGAUACGAAAAGGAAAGGGUGGCAAAUGAUUCAACAUAUUGGGUCUUGUUUGAAUUGAUUUGGAGGGAUUACUUCAGGUUUCUUUCAAUCAAAUAUGGGAAUUCCAUUUUCCAUCUGGGUGGUCCGAGGAAAGUGAAGAGCAGCUGGAGCCAAGACGAGAAACUGUUUGACUGCUGGAAAGAUGGCCGUACAGGGUAUCCUCUAAUAGAUGCAAAUAUGAAGGAACUAUCAACCACUGGAUUUAUGUCAAACAGAGGAAGACAGAUUGUAUGUUCAUUUCUUGUUCGUGAUAUGGGUCUUGACUGGCGUAUGGGAGCUGAAUGGUUCGAAACCUGUCUUCUUGAUUAUGAUCCUUGCUCUAAUUAUGGGAAUUGGACUUAUGGUGCAGGAGUUGGGAAUGACCCUAGGGAGGAUCGUUAUUUCAGCAUCCCUAAACAAGCGCAAACAUAUGAUCCUGAAGGAGAAUAUGUAGCAUUUUGGUUGCCUCAGCUGCGAGUGCUUCCAAGAGAUAAACGGCACUUUCCUGGAAGAUCAUAUAUUCAGCAGAUCUUACCCCUGAAGUUUGGGAGUGUUCCUGGACAACAUGGCACUCAGGCCAUCUCCUCUGACAGACAGAGGAAGUCUAGAAGAUAGAUGAAAGGACAUUGAAGACAAAAAGAAGGAAGUAACUGCUAGGAAAAAAGAGGCCUGUCAAACUGAUUGACAUCCUGAAGAACUGCGAAAUUUUGAGGAAGCUGAGUCUGCCAUGAUCUCUUCUCUGCAAAGAGGUUUUAUUCUUACUCAUAGCGGAAAAAGCGCCGGUUUUUCUGAAUGAAGCAGGUUAACUAUUUUUCAAAUCGAAAAUUGCAACGAAGUGAAGAGAGCAGUUUGAUUGUGCAGUUAAGAAUGUUUACUUAUCAUUUUCUGGACGAGAGGAGCAUUAAGAUGACGGAAUAUAUGUUUUGAAUACUGUAUUCAAUUGUUAUUCUGUGUUAGUCAAGAUCUAGUGUAACUUUCGCAGUAAUGACAUGCCACAGGAUGACUUACUGUGAAUGUAAGUUUGCCUGCAAAGGGAUCGAGAUCCGCAGCUACAGAGCGGAGGGUCAUUGCGCAUUAACUGAGAUACAGGGGAAUGAAAGGCGAGUGUAGCAUCAAGUUUAAGCA